UAAAAUCGUAAUAAUUGUGGCCUAUUUUGUGAGUGAAUUAUUAGUAUUAUGACUUUUUACUAAAAUUGUAUACAUUUGUGUUGUGUUAGGUUCUUUGCUUAAUAGUUCGAUGGUAUGCGAUAUCUUACAGUUGUGACGAGCAACGACAUCAUUUACAAAUUACGUUUAAAAUAUUUCAAUACAACAUAGAAUUGAUAGUGUUAUGCAUUUUCAAAAUUUCUUUUUACGUUUGCUAUACUGAUAAUAAAAAAAUCGAAAUGCAAUUUUGUGAUAACAUAUAUCAAAUGCACGCGGCACAAUCAAUAAUAAUAAAUAAUAUUGUUCACCCAACACCCGCAGUAAUAAACUAAUAAAUUGUAGUCAAAUGUAUCUACACAAAAUACAAAUCCACAACACAUUUACACAUUGGCGUCCGUAUAAUAUUGUAUAAGAAAAUCGUCUUUCCAUUUUUCCGAUUCGAGCUUUGUAACACGAAUAUAGCCGUGUAAGUAUACUCGAAACUCGAAUAUAUGUUUUUGAUGAAUGAUCAUAAUUCUGCACAGCAAGUCCGAUGAAAAUUCAGGAAAUCGGCAACACUCGUCUGCGUUCAUUUGCGAGCUGUCGGGAUUUAUUAUGUCGUGCGGGUGCGACCGUGCAGGGUAUCUGCGUCGCGAUUUUUUCAAUCACUUCCGCACUGAAUUCGGCGACUUGCGUAAACAACGACAUGCCAACGAACUCGUUUAAUUUGAUGUCAUAACCUAUUGUCUUAUUAUAAUAUAAUACGUCAAUAUAUCACGAUUAUAAUAAUAUAUUCUGUACCCAACAUUAAAACCAUGUUUGUAUAAACAAUAUAUUGCAAACAGUUAUCGGGCAAUCGCCAAACACAUAUAUAAAUUGUCGCAUUUUGCAGUUUUGGUUAGCAGCCUGGGUAGACGAUAUACUAUUGUGAUUAUAUUAUUUAUAAAUUUAUUGUAGGUACAAUACU